AUGACCAGGAAGGACUGGCUGGAGAGGCAUUGCUCUGAAGUGUAGCUGGGUUUAUCAGAAUCCCUUUGCCAUUCCUGAAGUAGGUGAAGAUUGUUACCUCUGCAGUUAUAAUGGUCGACUGCAGGAAACUCAGGAGCGUGAAGGAUUCAUUACUUGACAGAGCAAAUAAUAUAUUUUUUUUCACCAAACAAGUAAUAAAUGAUUCGGAGGAAGAAAGAUUUUUAAAUAUCAGUGGACUCUGUUCAUGGUCAUAUUGCAUCACGUGGAAGAAAAGACAAAAAUCAGUGAAGGAGUUUCAAGAACAUUCAGCACAGGUCCAUUUUUCCCAUAGUGAGCCAAGGUGUCGCCAGCUGUUACAGCUAGGACCUCGGAGAAAAAGAGCAGGAGCACAUCUCUCAAAGGAAAGGCAAAGGUGACUUGGCACCUCCGUGUGUUGCUGGUUGAAAUGGAGGCAGAGGAAACCUUGGCCCACCCUGAGAAGUGCACCAAAAGCAUCUUAGGAGACUGCAAGGAAAUACAGCCUCAAAAGUGUGGUCACUCCUAGGUCCAUUCCACAAAGAGGAACAGUAAUCAGAAGGUGCUGCUAGUGUUUGAAGGGAUGGACUGUCUGUGAGCAUCCUAUUACUGCCUUUGUUGGGUCCAGCACUGAUCUGUAGCUGUUAUGACCUUAUAAAAUUCCUCCAGCAACCCUAGAGGAGUUUGAGUGGCUUUUAAAGGAGGUGUGGUAGAGCACUAGUGUCUUUGUUUGGCAUGCAUCUGUGGAACAGCUUGCAUCCACAACCAAAUCAUUUCAUUUACUUGCUUUCAGUCCAUGUUCUCAUCUCUUUAAAAUGGGCUCUAUAAUGCUGUCUCAUUAUGCACAGACUUUAUGGGAGAGGUUCAGUAAUCAUUAUGAAAAGGUCAGAUGCUUCUGUGAAGGGCACCUAUAAAUGAGUCUAUAAAUAAAUAGUCUGGAAGCCUUUAGGAGAGGCUAACA
rnacentral:lncRNA from 1 species